rnacentral:tRNA from 1 species
CGCGGCAUAGCAUCACAGAAUGCCUUUCCCUUACACCGAAAAGAGAGUUGUAGAUUCAACUUGCUGCGA